rnacentral:piRNA from 1 species
UAUCAAACUUAUCUAACGGCUGUCUGG